rnacentral:lncRNA from 1 species
UUUUCUCACAAUAAUAUAUACCUUUGUGAAGAAACAUUUCCUCCAAUUUAUUAAAAAAAAAAUCUUAAAAUUCGUUGAAGGUUCAACAGUUUUGAAAUCAACAUUUUAGACUUUUUUUAAAAAAAUUUGUUCCCAAGUUUGGUAUGCUUCAUAAAUUGGCAUUCAUGAUGUUGAAAAUCUCUCUUAUAAUGUUUUGGUUAGUAUCCUUGUGAAUAAAACUUUAUGUGACGUCUUUUGAUACAAACAAAAACUUUAAGAAUGCUCAUCUAUCUCUUUUCCCGGAUUAGU